CGUACAAGCAGUGGGAGCACAGAGCAAUCUGUGUGACUGCGUACCUUUUGUAUAAUGGGUCAGCGACUUAUAUUCUGUAGCAAGGUUAACCGAAUAGGGGAGCCGAAGGGAAACCGAGUCUUAACUGGGCGUUAAGUUGCAGGGUAUAGACCCGAAACCCGGUGAUCUAGCCAUGGGCAGGUUGAAGGUUGGGUAACACUAACUGGAGGACCGAACCGACUAAUGUUGAAAAAUUAGCGGAUGACUUGUGGCUGGGGGUGAAAGGCCAAUCAAACCGGGAGAUAGCUGGUUCUCCCCGAAAGCUAUUUAGGUAGCGCCUCGUGAAUUCAUCUCCGGGGGUAGAGCACUGUUUCGGCAAGGGGGUCAUCCCGACUUACCAACCCGAUGCAAACUGCGAAUACCGGAGAAUGUUAUCACGGGAGACACACGGCGGGUGCUAACGUCCGUCGUGAAGAGGGAAACAACCCAGACCGCCAGCUAAGGUCCCAAAGUCAUGGUUAAGUGGGAAACGAUGUGGGAAGGCCCAGACAGCCAGGAUGUUGGCUUAGAAGCAGCCAUCAUUUAAAGAAAGCGUAAUAGCUCACUGGUCGAGUCGGCCUGCGCGGAAGAUGUAACGGGGCUAAACCAUGCACCGAAGCUGCGGCAGCGACGCUGAUGCGUUGUUGGGUAGGGGAGCGUUCUGUAAGCCUGUGAAGGUGUGCUGUGAGGCAUGCUGGAGGUAUCAGAAGUGCGAAUGCUGACAUAAGUAACGAUAAAGCGGGUGAAAAGCCCGCUCGCCGGAAGACCAAGGGUUCCUGUCCAACGUUAAUCGGGGCAGGGUGAGUCGACCCCUAAGGCGAGGCCGAAAGGCGUAGUCGAUGGGAAACAGGUUAAUAUUCCUGUACUUGGUGUUACUGCGAAGGGGGGACGGAGAAGGCUAUGU
rnacentral:rRNA from 1 species